UACAGAGGUCUCAAGCGUUGUUCGGAUUCAUUGGGCGUAAAGGGCGCGUAGGCGGCGCGGGUAGUCAUCGGUGAAAGUUCAGGGCUCAACUCUGAAUCGGCCGGUGAUACUCUCGUGCUUGAGCACUGUAGAGGCAGGUGGAAUUCCGGGUGUAGCGGUGGAAUGCGUAGAGAUCCGGAAGAACACCGGUGGCGAAGGCGGCCUGCUGGGCAGUAGCUGACGCUGAUGCGCGACAGCGUGGGGAGCAACAG
rnacentral:rRNA from 1 species